UGGCGGCCUGGCCCUCAGCCCCGCCUCAGGGCUGUGCCCCCGACUGCGCCCGGCUCUGUCCCCACCUCCCCAGCCCCAGGUGUCACUAUGUCGACCGUGCUGGAGUGCAGUGGCUAUUCGCAGGCACAGUCAUAACUCACUGCAGUCUGGAACUCCUAGGCUCAAGCAAUCCUCCAGCCUCAGCCUCCAGAGUAGCUGGGACUAUAAGAACGCACCACCGCACCAGGCUCUAAAGGUAGUUUUCAAAGAUGUCUCUGGAGUAUUGUUUCUUCCAGAAUGAUGUGACAGUUUUGAUAUUUCAAGACAGACUUCUCUCAAAUUCAGCAGAAACCUGAAAGUAGGAACCAGGGACAUUUUAGCCUCAUAGUUCU
rnacentral:lncRNA from 1 species